AUAAAGUUUAAUUUUAGCUUAAAAAUUUAUUUAAUGUUUUUUUUAUAUGUAAAUUUUUGUGUGAUAAUUAGUUAGAAUUUUAAUAAUUUUACUAUAAAGUUUUAUUUGCAGUAUUUAAUUUUAAUAAUUUAAGAAAUUAAGAAUUAUAAAUAUAUUUUUAUAUUGACAAAUUUUGUGCCAGCAGUUGCGGUUAUACAAAAAAUAUAAGUAAAUUUUAUUAGUAAAUAAUUAUAUGAAUUAUUAUAAAUAUUAAAUUAUAUUUAUUAGGUGAAAUUUUAAAUAUAAAAUUAAUUUUAAUAAAAAUUUUUAAUAUUAUGAAAUUUAUUUUUAAACUAGGAUUAGAUACCCUAUUAUUUUAAAUGUAAAUAAAUUAUACUAAAUUAGUAAUAGUUAUGUUCUUCAAAUUUAAAAAAUUUGGCGGUAUUUUAGUCUUUUUAGAGGAACCUGUCCUAUAAUUGAUAAUCCACGAUUUACUUUACUUAAUUUAUAAAUUUGUAUACCGUUGUUAUUAGAAAAUUUCAAAAGAAUUAAAAUUUUUAAUAUUCAAUAUUAAGAAAUAUAUCAGAUCAAGGUGCAGUUGAUAGUUAAGAAGAGAUGGGUUACAAUAAAUAUAUUUAUUAAUGGAUUAUUAAAUUUAAAUAUUUAUAUGAAAGUGGAUUUAAAAGUAAUAAAAUUUAAUUUAAUUUUAUGAUUUAAGCUCUAUAAUAUGUACAUAUCGCCCGUCACUCUUAUUAUAAGAUAAGAUAAGUCGUAACAUAGUAGAUGUACUGGAAAGUGUAUCUAGAAAGAC
rnacentral:ncRNA from 1 species